CUGAGUCCGUGAUGAUGUAAAGUUAUCCCUGUCUGAAGGCAAAGAAAGGCCUGUGUGGAAUGUGGAUGUCUGAAACUCAG